AGUCACCGCCUGAGGAGCAGCCAUGUUGGAUCAGUCACCGCCUGAGGAGCAGCCAUCUUGGAUCAGUCACCGUCUGAGGAGCAGCCAUGUUGGAUCAGUCACCGCCUGAGGAGCAGCCAUGUUGGAUCAGUCGGUCCAGGUCCAGUUGGCAUCACGUUUACAUCCUGCUGACGAAACACUUACUUUAGUUACACAAUUCACAAUAACCACGGUUCAUAUUUAGCAUCUAAAGUUGACUUAUUUUUUUCACAUAAAAGCUUGUAAGUAUCUAAAACGUUCAUCGUGGAAUUUCUGCAUCUAUUUUGGGAAAGAGCUGAUGUUGAGUUUUGACAAUUUCCCAGUAUGGAUAAGCUUCAGAGAGUAUUUAAGAGAGGUUGUUGACUGUAUACAGUCUGUACAGUACGUAUGAGUGAACUCAGUGUCAGUUUCUAACUGUAAAAACUUCAGUUUUUAAAAAUAAUGUGCAGCUAUAGAGUAAUUCCGCAUGAGGGCAACCACAUUACUAUUUCUUCUUCUUCUUCUUGUGUGAAGUCCGUCCGUAACGUUGGUUUUUCCAAAUAGCAGAGGACGACGUGGAUGUUGUGGUGAAGCUCCGCGAAGCGAAUGAGCACAACAAUCUAACAAGGAGGAGAUUCAGCGUGAAGGGACGGAUCCGUUUGAACGAGACGUUCGCUGGAGAUACAGUUCGUACGUCAGCAGCUUCACGUUAACAUUCAGACUCUGAAGAAACUUUUAGUUUGGCAACAACAUCAACUGUUGGGAGGAUUUACAUACAUUCAUAAGCUGCUGUCAUAUUUGAAUUCAGUAUCUUCAUCUCAACUGCGUGGUUUAACGAAAUAUGACCAUUUCUUUCCAGAUGCAUCCCGUUAAAGUUUAAACAAACUGGUCCAUCAAAGAAAUGAAUCAUGUCGUGUUCACGUGUUCAGGCUCUUUCAGGAAGCUCCUUGUUCACAAGUUGUGACACGCGUCUUCACGUUUCAGAAAAGUGAGGCGGCGGUAGAAGUUCAUUCUUCAUGUUGGAUGAUGGAAGUUGAUAUAUUGGAGUCUCAUCUUUGAUCCUCUCCUCGUAUCUCUUGCUCAACUAUUAGCUCCUGUACUCUUGUAUUUGUGUUGCUGUCGUCACGACGUCUCAUCCCUCGAACUUCACACAUCGUAACCACGACCUCACCAGUUCCACUUGAAGGCAGCGCUCGCCUCUUUUCUCCUUUCUGUCGUUGACGGCAGCAGAGAGCUGGUGGUGCUGGUGUCGACUGUGACAGUGUCCGCUACCUCUCAGCUGAUGGAAACGUUGCUAAUGGAGCCAAAGUCCGACCUGCUCAGCUGGAGAAGGACGUGUGGCUUCGGUCUCACCACAGAAUGUUCCAGUUCCAUCUGGUGCCGUUCGGAUUUCUCACCUUCUAAAGACGAGUUCCAGUUGAUGCUCCGACAGAAACUCUGACUUCCUCCACACUCCCAGAGACGAAGGAGACCAGGGUCUUCGUGUCGAAGGUCCCAGCUCUGUGUGACAACUGUUGUAAUAUUUACUAAAUAUUACAACAUAUACAACAAAUAUUAAUAUUUACUAAAUAUUUCAACAUGUCAAAAUGUAAGAUCCAUAUUAACUGAUUCAUUUCUUUGUUGUUUUUCUUUUGGUGCUGGAAAAUCAUUUGUUGUAGUUUUGUGCUUGACUCAAGAUUCGAAGAUCCUAUUUGUUGUUCAAAGCCUCAAACCAAAGUUCUGUGAUAUUUCAUAUAACAUUUACUGUAGUAGAUUAAGUUUCAGGCUUUGAACAAACAGAGGGUCUGAGAUCAGUGGCAUCAACUGAUCACUGGACGUGUGUGUGUGUGUGUGUGUGUGUGUGUGUGUGUGUGUGUGUGUGUGUGUGUGUGUGUGUGUGUGUGUGUGUGUGUGUGUGUGUGUGUGUGUGUGUGUGUGUGUGUGUGUGUGUGUGUGUGUGUGUGUGUGUGUGUGUGUGUCCGUGUGUGUGUCCGUGUGUGUGUCCGUGUGUGUGUGUGUGUGUGCUGACAGUAGGAUGUAGCUGUUAAACUGUACAGAUGUAAGAUAUUGUCUAAGUGACGUACUGUAGUUCUGCCUCCACGUGGAGCUCAGUGUUGUUUUCGUCUCCUCGUUCACACGGAGACCGUUUGCUGCCAUUUCUACGUUUGUUUCAGGCGUAUGAAAAUCUGAUUUCACAAACUUCAGAGUUGAUGCAGAGGGAGAAUGAAUCCGUCAGUCAGAGUUUACGUCUAGGAUGCGUCUAAGAAACUCAGAAUUCUGUACAUCCAUUACAUGUUGAAAAGCUUAGAAAAUCUUUGAUUUCAGUUUGACUGAUUAUUUUGAGAUGUUGAACCUGAUGUGUGAAACUUAUUUUUCACUUGGUCCAUUAAUCUCCAGCUCCAGGUCGUUUUGAAUCAUAAAUUAAAAACACUCGGUUUUCAUCCGUCAUCAUUCAGCCUGUGAAACCAUGAAAGUUGCUGAAGAGUUUUCAAAUGUCUUGAGUCCUCAAAGAUCCUGAAAUACACAAGUUUAAGUAUAAUCUGGAUAUAUAAGAUGGGUAUGUAACAGGUGAUGAAAGUGGACUGUGGAAGUUCUGCUUCUCUGGUUUUCAGGAGUAUAAAGUACAAAGAUCUGAAAGAUUCACGAGCUGCAGCUUCGUCCUCACAGUUAAAAGUUGUUAUUCAGUUAUUUUUCUUACUGAUAAAUUAUUAGAUUAAAUAACUGAUUGUCUCAGCUGCCAACAUGGACUCUGACAGUUCCUCUGUCCUCCAGCAGGGGGCCUGGGGUCGUAAUUAAUCCAUCAUAUGAGAUCUGUGUGGCAGAACCCGACAAUUAUUUUCUUUAUCAAUACAUCUGAUCGCUAAUUAUCGAUUCAGUUCAGUUUAUAAAAAGUACAAAAAUUGUGAAAAAUUCAAUUUUGAGAUGUUGAUUUCAACAAAUCGAAUAAUCAACAUUCAAUAAUUCAUAUUUCUGCUCUGGAGUCCUGGUCGGAGUAACUGCCAUGUUCAGCGGGAGCCAGCAGGGGGCAGCAGGGGCCCAAGAACCGUUUUUUAUCCAGUAGAAUUAAAAAAUUACGUUUGUACAGAACAUAAUCUUUCAUAUUAAAAUAUGUGACUGCUUUUAAACUGUGCAUUGAUGAAGGAUUAAAUAUUCUUGAUCCUUCACCUUGAAUUUUUCAAAAUCCUGAGUUUUCUUUUCUUUUCUUGUUUUCUUGCCAAACUGUCAGCCGCACAACAACCUGCCACAAACUCCGCCCCUUCGUUCUGCUGAAUGUUAAAAAUUGUGCUUUAAAGUGGCGUCCCUGCUUCUCGGCGUCCGUAGUGCCUCGUAGCGUCCGGCUGUCGUGUCGAUGUUGCGCCCCCCGGUGGCGGUCGGUCUGGUGGCGUCUGCAGCGGGACGCUCCGCCGGCCUCUGGUGGGCGGGGUCAUGUCCGGCGGCGUGGGCCGAGCUAACGUGCCUCCGGAUCGUUGCUGUAACGCAGUUCAGUUUUUACCUGGAGUUUUAUUGAACAGAUGAUAAUGUAUAUUUUUGCAGUUUUUUUUUUUUAGUUUCCACUGUAAAGUUUUAACUGUAAAUUGCACUAAUUAUUUUAAAGAUGAUCUUAGAUGUGACGUUCAGGUUCUUAUUAUUGUUGUAAUAACUUAAGCUAAAUAUAUAUCAAACAUUAACGUAUAUAUAUAUAUAUAUAUAUAUAUAUGUUUAAAUAUGAUUCUUGUGUGUUUAUUCACAAUAAACUUAAGAUCAUCUAAGAA